CUCUCUCUCUGCCCCUCCCCGCUUGCGCUCUGUCUCUCUCUCUCUCAAAAAUAAAUAAACAUUAAAAAAAAAAAAAAGAGUGCAAGAGGGCCACAACAUGCAUUUUUGUGUGCGCUCACUGGGCACUGCCACCAACUUGUUUGGCUUAAGAAGUCAUCCCUCUUCCUCCUGCUAUCAACUUAUGUGCGGUUAUUUUUAGGGUAGAAAACUAAUAAAAAUAAUAUUUUUUUAGGAUGCCAAGGGAAAUAUUUGUACAGACUGGGAGGCAAUUUACAAUAUUUUGAUGAACAUUUUCCUUCAUUGAUAGAUGAGGAAUCUGAGCCUGGGUGUCUCCAUCUGACCCACUGGAAGGCUUCACGCCCAGCGCGGAGCCCAAUGUGGAGCUUGAACUCACAACCCUGAGAUCAAGACCUGAGCUGAGAUCGAGAGUGAGAUGCUUAACCAGCUGAGCCACCCAGGUCGUUAGCCUGGGCAUCACUUAGCUGGCUUCUCUGCUCUGGGCUCAUGGGCUGAAGUCGAGGAUCUGUCGGGGCUGCUGUCUUUUCUGAGGCCUGGAGUCUUCUUCUAAGCCCACUAUU